CUCACUAACAUUACCUCCCCACACCACACCAGUCCACUUUCUCUCUCUCUCUCUCUACAAUCUCUCUUUUCUCAUUUCAACGUUAAACACUCUCUCCCUUCGCUUCUGAGUUUCACGGGUUUUGUAGGGUUUGUUCUGAAUCCAAAUCAGGUCGAGAAGUGAAGAUAAGGAAGAAAGGCGUCGACUUGGUUGCUAGUUUUGUAAGCAAUGAGUCCUGGUCAAGGCAAGCUGCCUUCAGAUUCGAUCAAAGUGGUCCCUGGAAGGAGUAAAUUGCGGGUUGAAUCUUCAAACCCGGUUGCUAGAGGGAAUCCAGUACCUAGACCUUCAAAGGUGAAGUGUAUCGCUCCAGAGGAAGUUAUAAAACUACAUUCUGGUGUCAGUAAAGUGCCUCUUCCUCCAGCUUCUGUGUCAUCAAGACCUUAUAAGCCUGCUCGUCGAGCUUUUGAAUCACAAAGACCUAAGCCUACUCGUGCAGCUUUUGAAUCACAAAGACGUGAGCCUGUUCGUCCAUC